AUCACAGACCACUCAUGCUAGAGUUCAACAACAAUUUAUCUAGAAUUACAAAUGAUAGAAGACAAAAACCUAUCAGAUUUGAAAGUUUAUGGCUGGAAAGUCCCAAAAUCGACCAGUUGGUUAAGGAAAAUUGGUUAUCCGACAGAGGAAAUUCAAAGUAGAAACUUAACUAUACUAUUCACAGACUUUGAAAAUGGGGAAAAGAUAAUUUUAUAAAUAUAAAUAAGACUAUUCAAACUCUCUCAUUUCUAAACAUCCAGGAAACGUGAGAUAUCUCACCUUCCUCUCUCAAACCCUCUAUACAUUAUUUUUCAUUCUCUCACAUAUUUUUAGCCAUAGCGUUUUGAGAAACGUUCUUGAGUUUAGUGAGAAAGUUGUUAUGGGAAAUGACAUUAUUGGGAUUCAUUGGCUUAACCUUCUAAAAGCUCACAAGCAUUAUUCGACACUUCCAAGAUCAAUUCUUAGGGGAGAGGAGUAGGUCAUUUCUUCAAGACUCUGCCUUUAUAAAUCUCCGAAAUAUGAUAGAAGUUCUGAAGCACUCUAAGAGGAAACAGAGCUAUGAAAGUGAUUUCUCAGAAGCAGAAGGCUAUAUAGAGGAAAGUUUACAAGAACAAGAAGUUUUGAUGCUAAGACGCUUCACAAGCACCAAUGAACAAAGCUGCGAAUUACACUCUGAUAAGAAGCUUCUAACUGUUUUUUCAAGUAGAUACAAUACUCUGAUGAUCAGAAGAUCUUCUUUAUGUUAAAGUCAUUAUUACAUGAUCAGUUAGUAACGGCUGAAACAUUAUUACUAUGGACAUAAUCUUUGUUUUUGGAAAGGGCCUUAAAUCACAUAUUAUCAACCUUCCAAAACAAGAAAAUGCGUCUCCAACAGAUAUCUUAAUUCAGUCUAUAUAAAGGAGACAAAGAUGAAGAAUGAAACAACAAAUCUCACUCACGCAAACACUAAGAGCGCUUAAAAAGACUAUUCAUACAUUUUAUCUCUUAUUCUAUUAUGCUAUAAUUUUGUGUAAACAUCACAGUUGUGAUACAGCUUUCUAGAAGUAUUUUGUAAACACACUAAGUUUUAUUUUGUAAUUGUUAUUCCUUGAAAAAACCGGGAUGUGUUUUGAUCUCAAGAAGACGUUGACGGUUGUCUUCGUGUUUUGUAACCAAGUUUUAAUUAGUGGAUUAAGACCUCGGGAGAGGGAGAGAGGCAAAAUUACCUUAAUAGGGAGUUGAGAUCCUCUCUAUUUCUUCAAAGAAAUGGAAAGUACAAUUACCAAUGCUUGCAUUGUAUAAAUAUCAAAGUAUAUAAAAUAUAUGUCACACUUAUAAAUAAUAUAAAUGUAUUAUUCUCCAAAACUUUAGUAAUGACAAUCUCCAUUUCUUUUGAGAAAUGGAGAGGAUCUCUACUCCUUAUUUUAGUAACACACACACACACGCCAGGCCGACUCAAGGGCAAGGCAAACAAACAAACAAGACUAUUGGUUUGGGCCUUACUUUUUUGGACUCAUAAUAGACCUCAAAUUAAAAUACAAUUUCUUUAACCACCCCCUGGGAUGAGAAUGCCUGCUGGAA